rnacentral:rRNA from 1 species
AUUGAACGCUGGCGGAAUGCUUUACACAUGCAAGUCGAGCGGCAGCACGGGGGCAACCCUGGUGGCGAGCGGCGAACGGGUGAGUAAUACAUCGGAACAUGCCCAGUCGUGGGGGAUAACACUUCGAAAGAAGUGCUAAUACCGCAUACGUCCUGAGGGAGAAAGCGGGGGAUCGCAAGACCUCGCGCGAUUGGAGUGGCCGAUGUCAGAUUAGCUAGUUGGUGGGGUAAAGGCCUACCAAGGCAACGAUCUGUAGCUGGUCUGAGAGGAUGAUCAGCCACACUGGGACUGAGACACGGCCCAGACUCCUACGGGAGGCAGCAGUGGGGAAUGUUGGACAAUGGGGGCAACCCUGAUCCAGCCAUUCCGCGUGAGUGAAGAAGGCCUUCGGGUUGUAAAGCUCUUUCGGCAGGAACGAAACGGCGAGCUCUAACAUAGCUUGCUAAUGACGGUACCUGAAGAAGAAGCACCGGCUAACUACGUG